rnacentral:lncRNA from 1 species
GUGAGUCCUCCAACUUUAUUCUUCUUUUUCAAGGUUGUUUUGGCUAUUCGGGAUCCAGUACAAUUCAGAUGAAUUUGAAGAUUUGCUUCCAUUUCUUUGAAAAGGCUUUUGGAAUUGGCUGUGCAUUGUAUCGAAUCUGUGGAUCAUUUUGGGUGGUGUUGACAUCUUAACAAUGUUAAGUCUUCCUGUCUUUCUUAUGGACAUCUGAGUUCUCAACCCUGCCGCCUACAGCAAGCUAUUUGAUGACAUGAACUGAAUGGUACUCCUGAAGUGCGUUGGACCGAGUUUCAUUCCAUGGCCCAGAGCUGAUGCCUGAGUUCUGUGGACAGGCCUCUAUCACUGCCAGGACAAUGACAGUGCUCUCGUGGUGGAGUAUGAGAUUGACUUCCAAGAUGUCAGCAUAUUACGCACAAAGGCCUCCGCCAAAAGCCCCUGAAGAAUGAGACCCGGAGGCUGGGUGGCAAUGUACUCAUCUUCACCCACUGGGAGCCCUGGCAGGACUGUAACCGCUGUGGGGAGCCAGGUGAGCGCAAACGCCUGGGGUACUGCUACAUCCAGGAGCCCCUGGAAAAACCCAUGCCCUGCUGGCUCUAUCUGAGAGAGGAGAAGGUGCCAUACAGCCGCGUGCGGCCUGAGCUGCAGGUGGAAGCCUGUCUUGUACCCUGCG